UACGGGGGGGGCAAGCGUUGUUCGGAAUUACUGGGCGUAAAGGGCUCGUAGGCGGCCAACUAAGUCAGACGUGAAAUCCCUCGGCUUAACCGGGGAACUGCGUCUGAUACUGGAUGGCUAGAGGUUGGGAGAGGGAUGCGGAAUUCCAGGUGUAGCGGUGAAAUGCGUAGAUAUCUGGAGGAAUACCGGUGGCGAAGGCGGCAUCCUGGACCGACAUUGACGCUGAUGAGCGAAAGCUAGGGGAGCAAACGGG
rnacentral:rRNA from 1 species